AUACGGAGGGUGCAAGCGUUACUCGGAAUCACUGGGCGUAAAGCGCGCGCAGGCGGCUUGAUAAGUUGGAUGUGAAAGCCUACGGCUCAACCGUAGAACUGCAUCCAAAACUGUCAGUCUAGAGUGUGGGAGAGGAAGAUGGAAUUAGUUGUGUAGGGGUAAGAUCCGUAGAGAUAACUAGGAAUACCAAAAGCGAAGGCAAUCUUCUGGAACACUACUGACGCUGAGGCGCGAAGGCGUGGGGAGCAAACAGGAUUAGAAACCCGAGUAGUCC
rnacentral:rRNA from 1 species